rnacentral:rRNA from 1 species
GACGAACGCUGGCGGCGGGCUUAACACAUGCAAGUCGAGCGGGCAUCCUUGUGGUGUCAGCGGCGGACGGGUGGGUAACGCGUGGGAACGUGCCCUUCGGUUCGGAAUAACUCAGGGAAACUUGAGCUAAUACCGGAUACGUGCGCGAGCAGAAAGGUUUAUCUGCCGAAGGAUCGGCCCGCGUCUGAUUAGCUAGUUGGUGAGGUUAUGGCUCACCAAGGCGACGAUCAGUAGCUGGUCUGAGAGGAUGAUCAGCCACACUGGGACUGAGACACGGCCCAGACUCCUACGGGAGGCAGCAGUGGGGAAUAUUGGACAAUGGGGGCAACCCUGAUCCAGCCAUGCCGCGUGAGUGAUGACGGCCUUAGGGUUGUAAAGCUCUUUUCGCCGGGACGAUAAUGACGGUACCGGAGGAAUAAGCCCCGGCUAACUUCGUG